CUCGCGAUUGGUAAAUCAGCAACAGAAGGCUGUGGCAUUGACACUUGACACUUUGGGAGUUCUUGAAUCAAUUUGUUACCAAAAUUUGCACCAGAUUGAUCAGAUGUUUUUUGAUUCUUCAUCAUAGUAUAAGUGAAGUUGUUUGUGGGGUUUUGUUUGUUGGCUAAUUUCAUGAUCUCAUUUGCUUUAUCAGCUGGAAAAUCAUCAAAAACAAUGACUUGUCCACCAUAAAAAAUGGUCAUUUGUGCCUUUUCUGGUUGAUCAAAUUUCCAAGAUUCAGUCUUUUUUGUGGAUUGUUCUUUGGAGAAAUCAAAUUCUUGAGGGAAAAGAUUCAUGGGUUUUUGAGGAUUUGUUUCAACGGACGACGAUGACGACGAUGAAUCACUUGAUUUCUCAAUCAUUGGCAACAAAUUCAUAGUAGUUGUAGUGGUGGUAGCUGUUUGUUGAG
rnacentral:lncRNA from 1 species